rnacentral:lncRNA from 1 species
GGACAACUCUUAAAAAACAAGGAUCUGCAAGGAUGAAAAGAUUGACAAGACUCUCUUGAUAGCAAAGUUACGGUCAACAAAGAGAGAAAACAGUAGGUGGUCCUGCCUACUGCUGGAUUAAGUUCAAAGCCUGGAAAGAAAUUUGCAUUUGGAGGGCAGAUACAAGGAGGUAUGUUUUAUUGAAUCUCUGGUACCUUACCCUUUUUCAAGUUCAUAAUGCGUAUGUUGGAU